rnacentral:rRNA from 1 species
UGGGGAAUUUUGGACAAUGGGCGAAAGCCUGAUCCAGCAAUGCCGCGUGUGUGAAGAAGGCCUUCGGGUUGUAAAGCACUUUUGUCCGGAAAGAAAUCCUUGGCUCUAAUACAGUCGGGGGAUGACGGUACCGGAAGAAUAAGCACCGGCUAACUACGUGCCAGCAGCCGCGGUAAUACGUAGGGUGCAAGCGUUAAUCGGAAUUACUGGGCGUAAAGCGUGCGCAGGCGGUUUGCUAAGACCGAUGUGAAAUCCCGGGCUCAACCUGGGAACUGCAUUGGUGACUGGCAGGCUAGAGUAUGGCAGAGGGGGGUAGAAUUCCACGUGUAGCAGUGAAAUGCGUAGAGAUGUGGAGGAAUACCGAUGGCGAAGGCAGCCCCCUGGCAAGUACUGACGCUCAUGCACG